GUGGGGAAUAUUGGACAAUGGGCGCAAGCCUGAUCCAGCCAUGCCGCGUGAGUGAUGAAGGCCUUAGGGUUGUAAAGCUCUUUCGUCAGGGAAGAUAAUGACGGUACCUGAAGAAGAAGCCCCGGCUAACUUCGUGCCAGCAGCCGCGGUAAUACGAAGGGGGCUAGCGUUGCUCGGAAUCACUGGGCGUAAAGCGCGCGUAGGCGGCUUUCUAAGUCAGGGGUGAAAUCCUGGAGCUCAACUCCAGAACUGCCUUUGAUACUGGAGAGCUUGAGUUCGGGAGAGGUGAGUGGAACUGCGAGUGUAGAGGUGAAAUUCGUAGAUAUUCGCAAGAACACCAGUGGCGAAGGCGGCUCACUGGCCCGAUACUGACGCUGAGGUGCGAAAGCGUGGGGAGCAAACAGGAUUAGAAACCCGAGUAGUCC
rnacentral:rRNA from 1 species